ACAGACCGCUCCAUGGCUGUGAACGUGUAUAGUACAAACAACCAGGCAGACAAUCUGAGUCGCCAUGACAUCCUGGCCUGGGUCAACGACAGCAUCCACACAAAUUACGGCAAAAUCGAGGAACUCUGUUCAGGGGCCGCAUACUGCCAGUUUAUGGAUAUGUUAUUUCCUGGCAGCAUCCCUAUCAAAAAAGUUAAAUUCAACACAAAAUUAGAACAUGAAUUCAUCCAGAACUACAAGCUCCUUCAAAACUCAUUCAAAAAAACGACUGUCGACAAGGUGAUUCCAGUUGAGAGACUUGUAAAAGGACGCUUCCAAGAUAACUUUGAAUUUGUACAGUGGUUUAAACGCUUUUUUGAUGCUAAUUACAAUGGUGAUGGAGAGUAUGAUCCCGUAAUGGCAAGGGGAGGGGAAACUGUGGGAAAUGUUGGAAAACCAGCAGUAAUGAAAUCUCCGGCGGCAGCAAAGACUGGUAUCUCCAGAGGAACAACAAAGGCUCCAACUAGGACAACUACAAAGAGUCCCUCUGCAAUAAGUAAACCAGUAGCCAAUGUUAAAGCCACAGUCAACAGUGGGGGAGGUGAUAAUGGAGCCAAAAUAGCAGAAUUAACGCAACAGAUAAAUGAACUGAGGUUAACAGUGGAAGGACUAGAGAAGGAGAGGGACUUUUACUUCGGAAAGCUUAGGGACAUUGAAGUCACAUGUCAGGAAAACGAGGACAAUGAAGUGAUCAAGAAUGUCAUGGAUAUCCUUUAUGCAACCGAGGAUGGAUUUGCUCCUCCCGAGGAGGAUGGAAACGUGGAAGAGGAGGAGGAGUAUUGAGGGCGUAGGCCACACCCACUUAGUGCUAUUUAAAAACACUCAUUAUUUUGGCUCAACCGGUUGCUUUUGUUCAAAGUUUACUUGAAUUCAUCUGAAGGGCUUACAUUACACCUUACCCAAAGGAUUUUCCCUCCAUUUCUACAUCAAAUGGAAUUUGGAAGGAAAGCUGUGUCAUAUGACAAUAUCAAGUGCUAUUGCAGAGGCCGCUGAUUUUUCAGUGGAAUCUCUUGUUUGUUGUAUUGCACAGUGUAUGUAUUAUAGCUGUGAAAAAUAUUUAUAAAUGUGAUAACUUUGUAUUAUCUUUGACCAUGCUGUAUUAUUUUUCCUUUUUUUCAGCAACUGUGUAAUUUUUUUUUUUUAUAUAACAUUGGGUUUUCCUUAUUGUUUGUAUGUAUAUCUGUUCACUCAAAUUUUUUAAACAUUUCUAAAACUAAAGUUAAAUUUGGAUUUAAAGCAGUUGAGACAAUUUAAGAAUUAUUAGAAUCAUGCUUUUUUUAAAUGUUCAUUGUUCUUUAUUUUUCAUUUUUCUUAGCAAAUUGUUCAACUCAUUUUGACAUCAUCUUUAUUUUUUUGUUCUCGCACUACUGCUGACUAACAAAGAGAAAAUUAGAAAAUAUAAAUAUAGAGCUAAAGUUUAUUAUCAUUUAGGAAAUAUAUUCAGUUGACUACGAUGUGAUAACUUCAUACAAUUUUAAUUGUACAUGUAAUUACAUCAAAUGCAUGAAUCAAAUUAUGUUGAACAAUAAACUCAGUUUAUUAAAGCUAUACAAGAUC
rnacentral:misc_RNA from 1 species